rnacentral:rRNA from 1 species
UGGCCUACGGGGGGCAGCAGUAAGGAAUCUUGCACAAUGGGGGAAACCCUGAUGCAGCGAUGCCGCGUGAGUGAAGAAGGCCUUUGGGUUGUAAAACUCUUUCGUCGGGGAAGAAAAUGACUGUACCCGAAUAAGAAGGUCCGGCUAACUUCGUGCCAGCAGCCGCGGUAAUACGAAGGGACCUAGCGUAGUUCGGAAUUACUGGGCUUAAAGAGCUCGUAGGUGGUUAGAAAAGUUGGUGGUGAAAUCCCAAGGCUCAACCUUGGAACUGCCAUCAAAACUUUCUAGCUUGAGUGUGAUAGAGGAAAGUGGAAUUUCUAGUGUAGAGGUGAAAUGCGUAGAUAUUAGAAAGAACACCAAAUGCGAAGGCAACUUUCUGGAUCACUACUGACACUGAGGAGCGAAAGCAUGGGUAGCGAAGAGGAUUAGAUACCCUCGUAGUCCAUGCCGUAAACGAUGUGUGCUAGACGUUGGAAAUUUAUUUUUCAGUGUCGCAGCAAAAGCGUUAAGCACACCGCCUGGGGAGUACGACCGCAAGGUUAAAACUCAAAUGAAUUGACGGGGACCCGCACAAGCAGUGGAGCAUGUGGUUUAAUUCGAAGAUACGCGCAGAACCUUACCAACACUUGACAUGUUCGUCGCGAGACCAAGAGAUUGGUUUCUUAUCAUUCAGUUGGACGAAACACAGGUGCUGCAUGGCUGUCGUCAGCUCGUGCGUCGUGAGAUGUUGGGUUAAGUCCCGCAACGAGCGCAACCCCUACGUUUAGGGUUACUAACAUUUAGUUGAGUACUCUAGACGAACUGCCAGUGAUAAGCUGGGUAGGAAGGUGGGGAUGACGUCAAGUCCUCAUGGCCCUUACGUGUUGGGCUAUCCACACGUGCUACAAUGGCAUUUACAAUGGGAUGCAAAGAGGCGACUCCUACCGCUAAUCCCAAAAAUAUGUCUCAGUUCGGAUUGUACUCUGCAACUCGAGUAGACAUGAAGCUGGAAUUGCUAGUAAUCGCGGAUCAGCGCGCCGCGGUGAAUGUACGUUCCCGGGUCUUGUACACACCGCCCAA